GCUGACUAUGAACUGUAACCACAAAAAGUUGGAGUUCGGUUCAAAGCUCAAGACUCAAGACUCAUGAGGCUUGAAUAUCUUUUGCCCUUGGCAGAAGGCGUUCCCCACUCAUCUCGGAGGAUGUAAGCUUUAUGCUUGGAAAGUCGUGGCAGCCAGAUGCCCUUUGCAGGUGCAGACGGACCUGGCUGAUGGCUCUUGAGAAUUGCAGCAGUUUCCUGGGAGAAGGAAUUUGGAGAAAGAUGGCAUAAUCAAUCAUCAAAUCUUUGCAAUUUGAGCUACUCUGCUGUCAGAUCAUCCAACAGGACUGUCUGCCAGAGACCAGCAGCUUGAGGAUGUGGGGUGAGCCACCGGGAUAAGUUGAGGAAACUAAUGCUUGGGGACAUUGAGAUGCCCAAGGACUCACAGGCAUGGAAAAGGGGAGCCAUAUAUGUAUCUAGUGAGGAUGGGAUCUGAAGGCGACUGCCCACAGCUCUGGGGACCAGAAAGACAGGUGUCGUGGAACCCUUUGAGUUCUCUGUCCUCCCCGCUGUCUCCAACAGUCGUGGAGAUUAUCUCCAACAAAUAAAGAUACAUUUCCAGAUCCAAAUCUCCCCGACGCUCCUAAUACUCUAACUACUGGCGACUGGGUACACCGAAAGUGACAACACAAAACACCCUAGAAGGGUCCUUACCAGUCCCCUUAACUUCUGAUACUACAGUCAAACCAGAAAGGAUCGAACCUUGAGUUCUCAUCUCACAACAUAACAAGGCUCCACCGUCCAACAAUUGGAACUGUCACCAAACCGGAAACCUACGACUAAAUUUUACUAGGACGAGAAGUGGACGCCUUCACGAGGUAGACAACUUCCAACCAAGAUCGUGGAACAAGGCCCCACGAACUGCUAUGUUCCUGUCAUGUUCCUUACCAUAUUAUUCCUUAUAAUUAUCGUUACAUUUUUAUUAUUUCCACACCACUUUUGCACACCUUUUCCAUCUUCCUUAACAAAUGUUACCACCAAAGACAUUUGAACUGUUCCUAUUUGCCUCUUCCUUCCUCUUUGCCAUGACUGGGAAAGACAAUAAUAUUAUUUAAUCUUCCCAGGCCAUUGCCAAAGGGAAGAUCUAACUGACUGCUGGAUCUGCCAGCAUAAACCCCAAUCUGUUCAUGACACAGGGGAUCCUGUCAUCCUGCCAAUGACCAAUUUUUAGGAAUUCUAAAUGUCACAGUAUUUUACAAUCAAGCUAGAAAAAUCACCCAAACUUAUAGGGUCAGGAUAUUACAGCCUUUGUCACCUAUGCCUUGUUUUAGCUUCGCAAAUGUAAACAGAUCGGGCCUAUUCCCUGGUGGCCAGAUUCAUUCUGCAUGAACACAUGUUGGCCCAGAGAUUACCUUCACUAUGAUACCACCUGUCCUCACAUCAUUACUCCGAGAGACUUGACGGGACAGCUCCCACUAUAUAGAAUGCUCUGUUUAAAAACGACACCUUGGCCCCUUUCAAAUAUAAGAUAUUGUGACAAUUGCAUAAGCAAUGUAUGGUUAGAAACUGCCAACUCAAGCAUUCUCCAAACAAAUAAUCAAACACUUACUGGUGUUCUAUGCACACCUUUGGGUUGUAUUUUCAUUUGUGGAAGGGCUGAGACCAUGACCCACUCUCUCCGUAUGCCUGGACAUUUCAACGUAUGGCAGGACAGUGUGGACUGAGCCUCUGAGUAGUUCCCUAAGAAAUCCGAAGCUUCACACUGGACUAACUCACUUAAUUUACCCUCCUGAGCCAAACUUGAGUUGCCCGAGGGUGUCACUAAAUCUGGGUGGGCCUCUUUCAUUGGAUUCUUAUUUCCUUGGUUGGGAGUUAACAUAAAUGGAAAUACGGUCAACAACUUAUCUGUAACAGUGGGAGAAAUUGCUGAGUCCCCUGAAAAAGCUAUUGCUGCACCACAAAAAUCUUUAGAUUCUUUAGCAAGAAUUGUUUUAGAUAAUGGAGUUGUGCUUGAAUACUCGCUGGCUGAGCAAGGAGGAAUUUGUGCUGUUAUCAGUACCACCUGUUGUACCCGGAUAAACACUUUUGGGGAAGUGGAAAAAUAGUUACAUGAAAUAGCCAAACGCCACAUAACUCAAGCAAGUCUGUCUUUCCUUGGAAUCAUUCUUUGAUUUUUUGAUUUGGGUUGGUUUGGGUCCUAGGGUGCUUGGCUCAGAAGAAUAUUCCUAACACUGAGCAUUUUCCUACUCACAGUAAUCAUGAUAGUCUCUCUGGUGCAUUGCAUCCUCUCUAAAGUUUAAAUGGUUACACCCAGCUGUCCAUCUAGAACAACAGAAGUGGGAAGAGAACAAAAAUAACAAACCCCUUGACAUCUUUAAUCUGGAGUUAAUCACGUACAAGAGCCAUCUAGAGCCACCAGAUGGUAACUGAGAAUGGUGCUAAUGCCUUUAAUUUUGAUUCAGCUCCUGGCCUGGCCAGGGGCCAGCUUAAAAGGGAGGGACUGAUAAAGCAAGUCUAGUUGGCCCAACAUGGAGGUGCCCAGGCUAAGACCCUUGUCAGCAAAACCAAAAACCUAAUCUAGAUCCUAUUUCCGAUAAAUGCCAGACUUGCCAAGGAAACCAAAUUUACGUAUAGCUGAUCAGUUAUCCCCAGCUAACUUCCUCAUUCCUGAGCAACCACCUGCUCCCCACCUUGUUAGACCCCCUCUAAGUAAAAUGGAAACUUACUGUCAGUCAAUCAGAACACUUCUUCACUUGCUUCUGCAAUUGCCCUAUAUGAGCUUCCCCUUCUCAACCCCUUAGUGGGGUACCCUUCUACUUUCUGAAUGGGAUGUUGCCCGAUUCAUGAACUGCUCAAUAAAGCUGUGAGAUCCUAAAUUGCAUGAAAAGUUUUUUUUUUUUACCAUCAGAGUUGAUAAAAUCCUUAAAAAAUAAACUAUCUCUAGUGGAUGCAGGUAUCCAAAAAGAGAUGUUCUCAAUCAUCAGCUCUCAUUCAGAAGUGGUCAUUAUCGCUGUAAUCAUAUAUUCCCUCCCCAAAUCUUCAAUGUGGGUUUGUCGGCAAGGGGUUCUCUUCAUGCAGAAAAAAUUGUUAUCCUUCAAUUCUGAAUUAAUUGAGGAUUGUGUGGGUAGGUAUUAUUAAGAGACGAUUAACAAUUGGCCCUAGUUGAAGUAUUUGCCUCAAUUCCCACAUUUUUGUGCCUAAACUCACCUCUUUGUUCAUUUGCAUAGAAACACAGCUCCUCAUUCAUUCUUACAGAGGAAACUGAAUGGCUAUUUGGUCCAUUUCAUGCUCAGGAAAGGCUUAGAAUUGUGAUAUAAUCAUGUAAUUUUAGGCUUUUGAUGCUACAUUAUUUCUCAAUGAAUUUACUUAUUGUCAAGAGAUGCACUGAAAGGACUGAAGGACAAUGGUGUAUAUCAUAUACUUUUAAAUUUAUCACCUUGUACUGGAUCACCUUCUUUUAGUACCACUACUAGCUAAAUUUUUUAAAGUACAAUCUAUAAUCAUUUUAUGAAUAAUGCAACUAUAUUGCAUGCUGUGGUUAAGCUAUUAUUGGGAAAAUGUACUUCAAUUUUGGAAACAUUAAAAUCUACCACAAUUUGCUUAA